rnacentral:lncRNA from 1 species
GCUUAUUAUGUCCGGAGGCGUAAAAAGGAGAGGCCAACAAAUAUGAAGUCCCUCCCCAAAGAGCUAUUGUUCGAAAUCCUCCUCCGUGUCCCGGCCGAUCAUCUCUACGAGAGAGCGAGGCUCGUGUGCCGGCGGUGGUACCACAUUAUCCAUUCUCAUGCCUUCAUCAACGCGCAGAUGCACGGUGCUACCUAUGGACUCCUCCUAUCACCCGUAAAGUAUAAUACUCUGCCACUUUAUGUAACAGCCGACGCAUAC